AUCCUGGCUCAGAAUCAACGCUGGCGGCGUGCCUAACACAUGCAAGUCGUACGAGAAAGUGGAGCAAUCCAUGAGUACAGUGGCGCACGGGUGAGUAACUCGUGACUAACCUACCCUGGAGUGGGGGAUAACUGAGGGAAACCUUAGCUUAUACCGCAUAAUACCUACGGGUCAAAGGAGCAAUUCGCUUCAGGAGGGGUUCGCGGCCGAUUAGUUAGUUGGCGGGGUAAUGGCCCACCAAGACAGUGAUCGGUAUCCGGCCUGAGAGGGCGCACGGACACACUGGAACUGAAACACGGUCCAGACUCCUACGGGAGGCAGCAGUGGGGAAUUUUGCGCAAUGGGGGAAUCCCUGACGCAGCAACGCCGCGUGGAGGAUGAAGUCCUUCGGGACGUAAAUUCCUUUCGAUCGGGACGAUAAUGACGGUACCGGAAGAAGAAGCCCCGGCUAACUUCGUGCCAGCAGCCGCGGUAAUAAGU
rnacentral:rRNA from 1 species